UCAGAUUGAACGCUGGCGGCAGGCCUAACACAUGCAAGUCGAACGGUAACAGGAAGCAGCUUGCUGCUUYGCUGACGAGUGGCGGACGGGUGAGUAAUGUCUGGGAAACUGCCUGAUGGAGGGGGAUAACUACUGGAAACGGUGGCUAAUACCGCAUAACGUCGCAAGACCAAAGAGGGGGACCUUCGGGCCUCUUGCCAUCAGAUGUGCCCAGAUGGGAUUAGCUKGUUGGUGAGGUAACGGCUCACCAAGGCGACGAUCCCUAGCUGGUCUGAGAGGAUGACCAGCCACACUGGAACUGAGACACGGUCCAGACUCCUACGGGAGGCAGCAGUGGGGAAUAUUGCACAAUGGGCGCAAGCCUGAUGCAGCCAUGCCGCGUGUAUGAAGAAGGCCUUCGGGUUGUAAAGUACUUUCAGCGGGGAGGAAGGUGUUGYGGUUAAUAACCRCAGCAAUUGACGUUACCCGCAGAAGAAGCACCGGCUAACU
rnacentral:rRNA from 1 species